rnacentral:rRNA from 1 species
GUUGACCUCGUGAUCAGGUAGGGAUACCCGCUGAACGG